GAACGCUGGCGGCGUGCCUAAUACCUGCAAGUCGAGCGAACAGACGAGGAGCUUGCUCCUCUGACGUUAGCGGCGGACGGGUGAGUAACACGUGGAUAACCUACCUAUAAGACUGGGAUAACUUCGGGAAACCGGAGCUAAUACCGGAUAAUAUAUUGAACCGCAUGGUUCAAUAGUGAAAGACGGUUUUGCUGUCACUUAUAGAUGGAUCCGCGCCGCAUUAGCUAGUUGGUAAGGUAACGGCUUACCAAGGCAACGAUGCGUAGCCGACCUGAGAGGGUGAUCGGCCACACUGGAACUGAGACACGGUCCAGACUCCUACGGGAGGCAGCAGUAGGGAAUCUUCCGCAAUGGGCGAAAGCUUGACGGAGCAACGCCGCGUGAGUGAUGGAGGUCUUCGGAUCGUAAAACUCUGUUAUUAGGGAAGAACAAAUGUGUAAGUAACUAUGCACGUCUUGACGGUACCUAAUCAGAAAGCCACGGCUAACUACGUG
rnacentral:rRNA from 1 species